rnacentral:rRNA from 1 species
AACGAACGCUGGCGGCAUGCCUAACACAUGCAAGUCGAACGCCUGUAGCAAUACAGGAGUGGCGCACGGGUGAGUAACGCGUGGGAACCUGCCCUUGGGUGAGGGAUAACCCGGCGAAAGCCGGGCUAAUACCGCAUACGCCCCGACGUCGUGGAGAUGUCGGGGGAAAGAUUUAUCGCCCAUGGAGGGGCCCGCGUCGGAUUAGCUAGUUGGUGAGGUAACGGCUCACCAAGGCGAUGAUCCGUAGCUGGUCUGAGAGGAUGAUCAGCC